CACAAUGAAACAACUGUUGUUUCACAUGGAUAAUUUGUUAUGCAGCAAUAGUAAUCAAAACAUUGUCCCCAAACCUUUCCUGAUUCUUCUCUUAGUUGUCUUCCCACCUUGUCUCUUAGGCUGAAUCCCUCCUGGACUGGACUCGGAGUCCUUGAAGAUGGCUGCCUGGGCUCUGAGAAUGCAAAGGGGGAGCUGGCAGGCUGCCCACACUCCCUCCAGGAAGUGCUUGGCUUACUCUGACGGCAGUGACCAGCCAAGCAUCUGACAGGAUCACCAGGUUGAUGUACCCCUCCUCUGAACCACCCCUCCCUUGUUGGCAGAUCCAUUGUCCACUCUUCUGUGCUUGUCCUGUGUCCUGGAAAGCUGACCUCUAUGGCCUGAAUUACCCAGUCUCCCUUGUCCUCUGAGCUGAU